GUGCUGAGCGGGGCCAAAUGGUAUAUGAGCCCCAGGCAUGGUAUUAGAGAGCUCCUUCUGCCUGGGCUGCUCCUUGGGAGGACUAAAACCAGCUUGAUUACCGGCUACAUGUGGCUUGACAGCGUAGAUGCAGCAUUACCAAGAGACUGAGCAGAGUUGUAUCAGAGUCACCUUUUCAUCUGCAAAGGGUGCUUGGUUCAGUUGUGGAGAGGGAAGGGAAAUCCUCAUGUCACGAAGCUCUGUGGGAAGGUGAGUGGUGUCAGCCAUGUCAUCCCUUAUCGGAAGCAAAGGGAAGACGCUCAGGUGUUCCCUGUGAGGGUCCGAGGUGAGGCUGUUUGGGAUAGA